rnacentral:rRNA from 1 species
GACGAACGCUGGCGGCGUGCCUAAUACAUGCAAGUAGAACUCCGUUGCGCACGGGUGUGUAACGCGUAUGUAACUGCCUCAUAGCGGGGGAUAACUAUUGGAAACGAUAGCUAAUACCGCAUAGUGUGAGAUGGACCUGCGUGGUAUUAGCUAGUUGGUGAGGUAAAGUGUCACCAAGGCGCCGAUACCUAGCCGGCAUGAGAGGGUGAUGGGCCACACUGGGACGGGGACACGGCCCAGAGUACGACGGGAAGCAGCAGUAGGGAAUAUUCGGCAAUGGAAGGAAGUCUGACCGAGCAACGGCGCGUGAGUGAAGAAGGGUUUCGGAGCGGAAAGCUCUGUUGUUAGAGAAGCGGUAACUAACCUGAAAGGGACGGCUAACUACGUGCCAGCAGCCGCGGUAAUUC